rnacentral:misc_RNA from 1 species
UCCGGUUUGUCACCGGCAGUCUCGCAUGAGUCCCCAGCUUUACCUGCUGGCAACAUGCGACGAGGGUUGCGCUCGUUGCGGGACUUAACCCAACAUCUCACGACACGAGCUGACGACAGCCAUGCACCACCUGUGAAGAUGCCCCGAAGGGAAAGCCUGUUUCCAGGCCGGUCAUCCACAUGUCAAGCCCAGGUAAGGUUCUUCGCGUCGCGUCGAAUUAAGCCACAUACUCCACCGCUUGUGCAGGCCCCCGUCAAUUUCUUUGAGUUUUAGCCUUGCGGCCGUACUCCCCAGGCGGAGUGCUUAAUGCGUUAGCUGCGGCACAGAGAGGGUUGAAGACCUCCCCACACCUAGCACUCAACGUUUACGGCUGGGACUAC